AUUCAGGGUCAUUGACAUCAGCGACGGCGAGUGAGCUGGCAUUUGCUUUUUUGCUUAUCGCCGCACUUUUCGCGUUCGCGUUGUAAAUUGAUGAAGGUAACUUUUUCUCCGCUUUAUUGACUUGAAUCCUUGGAACAGGACGUCACAGAGGGUGAGAAUCCCGUGCGAUGAGAUGCCCAAUUCCAUGUAAAGUGCUUUCGAAGAGUCGAGUUGUUUGGGAAUGCAGCUCUAAGUGGGUGGUAAAUUCCAUCUAAAGCUAAAUAUUGGCGAGAGACCGAUAGCGAACAAGUACAGUGAUGGAAAGAUGAAAAGAACUUUGAAAAGAGAGUGAAAAAGUACGUGAAAUUGUUGAAAGGGAAGGGCUUGAGAUCAGACUUGGUAUUUUGCGUUCCCUUCCUUUUUGGUUGGGUUCCUCGCAGUUUACUGGGCCAGCAUCGGUUUGGAUGGUAGGAUAAUGACAUUGGAAUGUAGCUUUACUUCGGUGAAGUGUUAUAGACUUUGUUGAUACUGCCUAUCUAGACCGAGGACUGCGUCUUUGACUAGGAUGCUGGCGUAAUGAUCUUAAGCCGCCCGUCUUGAAUCCACGGGACCAGUC
rnacentral:rRNA from 1 species